UACGUAGGGGGCAAGCGUUGUCCGGAAUCAUUGGGCGUAAAGCGCGUGUAGGCGGCCAGGUAAGUCCGCUCUGAAAGUCCAGGGCUCAACCCUGGAAAGCGGGUGGAUACUGCCGGGCUAGAAUCCGGAAGAGGCGAGUGGAAUUCCUGGUGUAGCGGUGGAAUGCGCACAUAUCAGGAGGAACACCAAUAGCGAAGGCAGCUCGCUGGGACGGUAUUGACGCUAAGGCGCGAAAGCGUGGGGAGCAAACAGG
rnacentral:rRNA from 1 species